ensembl:lincRNA
AGCUCCUCAGAACAAACCACAAGUUGCCAGGAGACCUGCCCGUCUAUCACAUCAUACUACUCUGGUCCCAGGGAGCCUGAAAGCCAUUCAGCUCUUUCAAGGAACAGACCAUGUCCUUCACGUUCAUAUUCUGGAAUAUCAUCCUUGCUUCCAUCAGAUUCUUACAAAUACCUCCCUUGGUACUGUAUAGAACAGCAUGAGAUUCGGGGUAGUCAGCUACAUUGCCCAAGAAUAAGGAAAGGACCCUCUGAAGAAUGGUUCCUUUCCAGACAGGUGGGAUGCAGCUUGCCUUCAAAGAAAAGAGUACUGGAGAAAAAAGAAUGGGAAACGUGGUUACAAGAAAACUGGGAAGACUGUAAGGAUUUGGGGGACCCUAAUCAAGUUGAAAAUUUUAACAGGAUUCUUAGAAGACUGAUUCGAGUUGAAACCCUUUGGUUGGUGGAUAAUUCACUUGUCGAUUUAAGUGCCAUAAGAUUGCCAAGCUGCAGAGUUUUAAAUAUGAGCAAAAACUAUCUCACAUCUUUCAAACAACUACCAAAGAUACCUCAGAUACAACAUUUAUCACUGGCUGAAAACCACAUUGAGACACUGACUGGCCUCUCCAGUUUACAGUGCACACCACUGGAAUCUCUCACCUUGAAGAGGAACCCCUGCGAAUUUCACCAAAACUACAGGAAGCAAGUAUUCUUGUGUUUGCCAAACUUAAAGGUUCUGGAUGGGAUCUUGAAGUCACCAGAAGAUUGUUCCCCUCCAGAACACAAUAUUUUUUCCAAACUAUGUAUUUUAUCAUAAAAAACUCUGCAUAGAAAGAAAACAGUUACUGUUACUGACAAAAAGCUAAAAAUAAAAGUAAUGCAUCAUUAUAUACUAUGUGAA